GUGAAGAGAAGGUUUUCUGCCCUGAUGGGGCCUUGGAUUACUACCCAUUAUUGAUUUUUCAGGUAGGAAGUGAUGAAGUUGCAACAAGAAGUCCAAGGGCAGCAAAGAGAGGCUUCAGGGCCUGGAGACAACUGGUCAAGGGAUGAGGAGCACAAGUGGUGUUCUCCUCUAUCCUGAAGUUGCAGGAAUGGUGAGCCGAGCCAGCCCCGGGACAGGCGGGGGGAACGAGCAGCUCCAGAGCCCCCAGCCCUGCCCGGCCCGUCCCUGCUGCCGGGGCUGGAGCUGCGGAGGUGGAUUAGCGGGAUUUGCACGCUCAAACAAGCUGGCAUCUACAUGAAUACCAGAAAUCAGUGAAGUAAAUGCAGGAAGAAGCAAAAUACAUGUGACAAGUCUCACUUGCAUCUGCGAAUUAAAGAACAGUUUCUGGACUUAAGAUGUAACAGCAGACAGGGAAUAAAGGAAAUCUUCAGUUUG